ACUCUGUAGUAUCUUUGCCUGCAAUUCUAAACUUCUGAUUCUGGCAUUAACAGAUAAGUGGAAUUCAUCAAGUUCUAGCAGAACAGAAAGUGAUUGCCUGGAAAGGAGAAGGGGCAAGAGAGAACGGAAACCAAAAGUUCGCUUUGAUGAGGUGACUUAUCCAUUGCAGUCAGUGAGAAAGAUCCGCCGGUUCAGGAUAAUGCGGUUUCUUGGCCUUGCAGCUCCAAUUGGCUCUCCUUUUUUGCCGACUCACAAUGUAAGAAUUGCUUCUAGAUAGUGUAGAUUUUUCAAAUAUUUAUUUAUAAAUUUAAUAUAAAAGCAUUAAUAUGUUUCUAUUUCUAUAUGCUUUUGAGGAUUACUUAAAGAGUGUUAUUUGGUUAUUAAUUUUGUAAAGAAUAAACUAUUGUUGGAAUAAUUUAAGUACCUCUCUUUGUAAAAGGAUAUAUGUAAGUUUAUAUAUGUAACCAGGGUUUGGACUCUUCUGUUCUCUUUC